CUGGUUGAUCCUGCCAGUAGUGAUAUGCUUGUCUUAAAGAUUAAGCCAUGCAUGUAUCAGUACAAGCCUAACUAAGGUGAAACCGCGAAUGGCUCAUUAAAUCAGUUAUUAUUUACUGGCCGAGACAGUGAUACAUGGAUAACUGUGGUAAUUCUAGAGCUAAUACAUGCAACCGAGCCCCAGGUCCGACUCUCGGGUCGGCCGGGGCGCUUUUAUUGGCUGAAAACCGAUGAUCGCCCUCGUGGCGGUCGUUCUCCGAUGAAUCACAAUAACAUUGUGUGGAUCGUACGGUCUUGUACCGACGACGCGCCUUUCAAAUAUCUGCCUUAUCAGCUCUCGACGGUUUGCUAGUGGCUGACCGUGGCUCUGACGGGUAACGGGGAAUCUGGGUUCGGUUCCGGAGAGGGAGCCUGAGAGAUGGCUACCACAUCUAAGGAAGGCAGCAGGCGCGUAACUUACCCACUCCCAGUUCAGGGAGGUAGUGACAAUAAAUACCUUACAGAGGUCUCGUUAACCGAGAUCUCUCAAACGGAAUGAGUACAACGUGAAUCCUUUAACGAGGAUCGACUGGAGGGCAAGUCUGGU
rnacentral:rRNA from 1 species